UACGGAGGAUCCAAGCGUUAUCCGGAUUUAUUGGGUUUAAAGGGUGCGUAGGCGGCCUAUUAAGUCAGGGGUGAAAGACGGUAGCUUAACUAUCGCAGUGCCUUUGAUACUGAUGGGCUUGAAUACACUAGAGGUAGGCGGAAUGUGACAAGUAGCGGUGAAAUGCAUAGAUAUGUCACAGAACACCAAUUGCGAAGGCAGCUUACUAUGGUGUGAUUGACGCUGAGGCACGAAAGCGUGGGGAGCGAACAGG
rnacentral:rRNA from 1 species